rnacentral:rRNA from 1 species
GUGGAUUAGAUACCCUGGUAGUCCACGCUGUAAACGAUGAAUACUAGGUGUGGGAGGACUGACCCCUUCCGUGCCGCAGUUAACACAAUAAGUAUUCCACCUGGGGAGUACGACCGCAAGGUUGAAACUCAAAGGAAUUGACGGGGGCCCGCACAAGCGGUGGAUUAUGUGGUUUAAUUCGACGCAACGCGAAGAACCUUACCAGGAUUUGACAUCCUACUAACGAAGUAGAGAUACAUUAGGUGCCCUUCGGGGAAAGUAGAGACAGGUGGUGCACGGCCGUCGUCAACU